rnacentral:rRNA from 1 species
UACGAAGGGUGCAAGCGUUAAUCGGAAUUACUGGGCGUAAAGCGUGCGCAGGCGGUGAUGUAAGACAGAUGUGAAAUCCCCGGGCUCAACCUGGGAACUGCGUUUGUGACUGCAUCACUCGAGUACGGCAGAGGGAGGUGGAAUUCCGCGUGUAGCAGUGAAAUGCGUAGAUAUGCGGAGGAACACCGAUGGCGAAGGCAAUCCUCUGGGCCUGCACUGACGCUCAUGCACGAAAGCGUGGGGAGCAAACAGGAUUAG